rnacentral:lncRNA from 1 species
AAGGCCCUUUGUCUUGGGGAAAGCGGCAAUUGAUCAGUUCUCUUAGAGCCAGAUAGCUGGGCUUUUCAGGGCAGAUGCUAAUGCUGCCCUUUAGAAAGCUCAGGAAUGCAGGUGACCUUCUUGGGUAACAACCUCCUUCCUCGCGGCUUGUCUGUCAUGUUGUCUGCACAGGGAUAUGCUUGGAGAACGUAGGGCCUCAGGGUCCUACGGAAUAAAAUCAACGAUUUGUUGAAGCUCCCUAUGAAGCCAGAACUUACAGAGGAGCCAUUGGGAUGUGACGGGGGUAGAAAGAGAAGAGUCAACGGCGUGUGUGUGGUCUCCAGUUUAGAAGACAGAGAGAGUGCUGCUCCCAGGACUGGAAUGGGGAUGCUGAUCGGCACCAUCUUGUUCACUGUCGAAUCCCCCAAGUUCAGCACAGUGACGAGCGCCUAACAGAUGCUUUAGACAUAUUUUUGGAUGAUUCAAUAAAUAAAUGAACAAAACUGAAGUCAGCAUGUGCUCUCAGAGAAAGUGAAGGAAUAAAUCAGGGGUCAAAAACUCUUUCCCUGGGGCCAGCCCGGUGGCGCAGCGGUUAAGUUCGCACAUUCCACUUCGGUGGCCGGGUGCCGGUGUUCACCGGUUCGGAUCCCGGAGGCAGACAUGGCACCGCUUGGCAAGCCAUGCUGUGGUAGGAGUCCCACAUAUAAAGCAGAGGAAGAUGGGGACGGAUGUUAGCUCAGGGCCAGUCUUCCUCAACAAAAAGAGGAGGAUUGGCAGCAGUUAGCUCAGGGCUGAUCUUCCUCAAAAAAAAAAAAAAAAACUCUUUCCCUUCAGGGCCCCUAUUAGUCAGGGCUCAGCUGCAGAUAAGAGUAACCAAUCCACCUAGUUUAAGCAGAAAUGAAUUUAAUUCCAGGAAUUAAGUGCCUACAGAGUCAUUGGAAGUGAUGGAGGAACAGAUAAUCUCUAGGCUGAGAAGAGAUUCCAAAAAACCCCACAGAACUGGUCCACCGAGGGAAAGGAAUUGCUACUUCUGCUAUAAUCAGGAAGCUACAGGGGUAGGAGGCAACUGCUGGCUCCAUGUCUACACCACUGGCGGUUGGGGGUCAAAAAGCUGCCCCUAGAACAGCUGGCUCCAGAGCCGCGUUGUACCUGCUGGAAUCCACCACAGCAAAACAGCUGCUGCCACUCUCCCCUGCGAGUCCCAGUAAGUGUGUCCCAUGGUGACUGAGUCCCUCCUGGAGCCACACCUGCAGCGAGUUUGGGAAAUGCAGACCCUAGCUUUCCAGCCUCUGCCGUGGAGGAAGUUAUCCCAGAAGGAGGUUGGAACAGAAGCUGAGUGAGCCAACCGACGCUCUCCACUACAGGUGCCAAGCAGAUGCAUGUGCUGCACCUGGAACCUCAAGCACCAGGCAUCUUCGUGAACACCCCCUUCCGACCCAAGCGCACACACUGAGGAAAGGCCGUGCGAGGGCCCUGUGAGAAGGUGGCCUUCUGGAAACCGGGAAUAGAGUCCUCAUGGAACCAACACUGCCAGGACCUUCAUCGUGGACGUCCAGCCCCCAGAACUGUGAGAUAAUAAAUGUCUGUCGUUUAAGCCCCUGGCCCGUGGUGUUGUGUUACAGCAGACUGGGCAGGCUAGGAGUAUUCCACACACUAUUUCCUAAACUGUUUUUUUCAUUUGAUAGUGCACAGUAGACGUCUUUUGAGGUCCUUCUCUGUAAGGGCUACCUCAUCAUUUUUAACACCUGCAUUCAGCUUAUACCAAAUGUUUCUGAAAUCGAGGCUUUUUAUGUGCCUUCUGUCUUGGAGCAAGGACUCCCGAGAGCAGCAUCGUGAGCCUGGCUGAGGGGAGACCCAAGGACGGCCGGGACCCAGCCUCCACGCCAGGCCUACGCUGCAGAGCCCACAUCCCCGACAGCUCUGCAGGCAGACAAGUGAAGGCACUGGUCGUCCCCACCGGGGACAAGCCCCCCGUGACAGCGCCAUGUCCAGUGGGCAGGGGCUGCCUUCUCCGGUUGCUCAGGAGUGAGCAGUUCCGCUGCCCACUCUCCCCUCCCUCCACCCGCGCAUCAUUCUUGAGCUGCUGCCAUAGGAACUUGCCAGGCAGAGGGUUGGUGAAGCCUUCCCACCACUGCCUGGAUGGGCUGCAGCAGUCCCCCCGCCCGCCACCUGCUCCCCGGCACAGGCUGCACGUUAGAAUCAUGAAAUCGCUAUGUCGAAGAGAGAUCUGCACCCAGUGUUCACCGCAGCACUAUUCACAACAGCCAAGACGUGGGAACGACCUGGGUGUCCAUCGACAGAUGAAUGGAUAAAGAAAACGUGGGUCAAGGUUCUGCAGACUUCUCAACAGAUCUCUGAAUCCGCCUGGUCCAGGUCCCCCGCCCAGGGAGCCAUACUCAGAACAAGAGCAGCUGGGAGUCAAAGCACAUUUGGUUCACGUCCAAAGUAGCAUCCGACAGCCCUCCAGGAGGGGGCUCCCUGGGAGAAACCAGGUUGGCCAGGAGGCUCCAGCUAUCUGAGCUCCUCCCCCUGAAACUGAACUGAACUGAAGGUGUCUGGGGCUGUAGGGCAGCCUAGAAGCAGUGAGACCACCAGCGGCAGGCGUGGGGAGGGCAGACCCCACCUCUGUGCGCUUGCCACAUAGGUACAGACAGCGCCUGGGGGCUUCCUUCCAAGGUGGUGUGACUGCCCAUUAGCAAAAUGCGGCCAAGCGAAUGCCAAGUUCUGAUCAGUCAGGUCAGCAACUCCCCUCCCCCAGAAUGAGGAACACCCUCCUCCCAACAUCCCCUGGCUAAACCACCGUUCCCGCCUUCCGUGGGUUUCCAUGCUCUGCCCCCUCCCACUUGCUGUCCUGGCUGCUUCAGUUCAUCAACAUCCCCCCGAGAGUGUGGAGCCCAGAAUGGGUACCUUGUUCUCCCUUGUUUUGCUUGAAUGCAGGAAAUAAAUCUCCGUUUCAGUAACUGGACCGUCAAAGACUAUAAUCUGUGUCCUGAACAAGACUCAAGGGACGGGACCAUAGUAAGACUGAGUGCCAACUGAGUACUUACUGUGUGCAGAUGGCGGUAACACUGCCGGGGGACACGAGGAGAGGCGCUGAGCGGUGGGUGGCCUGCGCUGGUGCCUGCCGUUCUCCUGACAGUUCCAUGAAGUAGGUGCUCUUCCUGGGGGCUGCCUGGGCUCAAAAGCCAUCUGUGGCUCCAGACUCCGCCCGCGUCCAGGCUCAGUGGCUGUGCCCGCUCUCUGCAUCGCCACGGCGGGCUCCACUGGCUGCACAUCCG